AUCACUGCUGAGGCCCUCAAGGAGCGGGUUCUGAAAGUAUUGCAAGUAUGGUCAGACUGGUUUCUAUUUUCAGAUGCAUAUGUGAAUGGAUUGCGGGCUACCUUUCUACGUUCUAGUACUUCGGGUGUUAUCUCUUUUCANNNNNUAUAUGUGGUGAUGCACCAGAAAUAGAAAAAAAGUUUAACUCAGAAGAUAUAGGUGAUGGAGGAAAGAUCAACCAAGAUGCUGCAUUGGCAAUGGGCAAAGGAGCUGCUGUGAAGGANNNNNUUGCUGAGCUUGAAAGACGUUGUAGACAUAAUGGAUUGUCUCUUGUUGGUGGUAGAGAAAUGAUGGUUGCCCGAUUGCUCAGUCUUGAAGAGGCAGAAAAGCAGAGGGUCUAUGAGUUAGAUAAUGACUUGAAAUUUUCUCAGAGCUAUUCAAGUUCUAGUAAAUUUUCAAGUGGGCACACAGAAACAAAUGUUGAACCGGA
rnacentral:misc_RNA from 1 species